rnacentral:rRNA from 1 species
CGCCGCGGUAACACGUAGGGGGCAAGCGUUAUCCGGAAUUAUUGGGCGUAAAGGGUGCGUAGGCGGCCUUAUGGGUCAGAGGUUAAAUACUAUAGCUUAACUAUAGUCCGCCUUUGAAACUAUAAGGCUUGAGUGCAGGAGAGGAGAGUGGAAUUCCUAGUGUAGCGGUGAAAUGCGUAGAUAUUAGGAGGAAUACCAGUGGCGAAGGCGACUCUCUGGACUGCAACUGACGCUAAGGCACGAAAGCGUGGGUAGCGAACAGGAUUAGAUACCCUGGUAGUCCACGCCAUAAACGAUGAGUGCUAGGUGUUGGGGGUCAAACCUCGGUGCCGCAGUUAACGCAUUAAGCACUCCGCCUGGGGAGUACGUUCGCAAGAAUAAAACUCAAAGGAAUUGACGGGGACCCGCACAAGCAGCGGAGCAUGUGGUUUAAUUCGAAGCAACGCGAAGAACCUUACCUGGAUUUGACAUCCCUCUGACCGUCUCCUAAUCGAGACCUUUCCUUCGGGGACAGAGGAGACAGGUGGUGCAUGGCC